UACAGGGGGUGCAAACGUUGCUCGGAAUUAUUGGGCGUAAAGCGCGCGUAGGCGGCUACUUAAGUCGGAUGUGAAAGCCCUUGGCUCAACUGAGGAAGUGCACCCGAAACUGAGUGGCUUGAGUACUAAAGAGGGUCGCGGAAUUCCCGGUGUAGAGGUGAAAUUCGUAGAUAUCGGGAGGAAUACCAGUGGCGAAGGCGGCGACCUGGGCCAAUACUGACGCUGAGGUGCGAAAGCGUGGGGAGCAAACAGG
rnacentral:rRNA from 1 species